AACUAACGCUGGCGGCGUGCCUAACACAUGCAAGUCGUACGAGAAAGUUGGCUUCGGCCGAUGAGUAAAGUGGCGCACGGGUGAGUAAUGCGUGGAUAAUCUGCCCUUUAGUUGGGAAUAACGUACCGAAAGGUGCGCUAAUACCUGAUAAUACUGCAUAACUACUGUUGUGUAGUCAAAGAAGGCCUCUGUUUACAAGCUUUUGCUGAAGGAUGAGUCCGCGUACCAUUAGCUGGUUGGUGGGUAAUGGCCUACCAAGGCUACGAUGGUUAGCUGGUCUGAGAGGAUGAUCCGCCACACUGGGACUGAGACACGGCCCAGACUCCUACGGGAGGCAGCAGUGGGGAAUUUUGGACAAUGGGGGCAACCCUGACGCAGCAACGCCGCGUGAGUGAGGAAGGUUUUCGGACCGUAAAGCUCUGUCGAGCGGGAAGAAAUGCAUGGUGGCUAAUAUCCAUCAUGCUUGACGGUACCGCUAAAGGAAGCACCGGCUAACC
rnacentral:rRNA from 1 species